rnacentral:rRNA from 1 species
UACGUAGGGCGCGAGCGUUGUCCGGAUUUAUUGGGCGUAAAGAGCUCGUAGGCGGCUUGUCGCGUCGACCGUGAAAACUUGGGGCUCAACCCCAAGCCUGCGGUCGAUACGGGCAGGCUCGAGUUCGGUAGGGGAGACUGGAAUUCCUGGUGUAGCGGUGAAAUGCGCAGAUAUCAGGAGGAACACCGAUGGCGAAGGCAGGUCUCUGGGCCGAUACUGACGCUGAGGUGCGAAAGCUAGGGGAGCGAACAGG